rnacentral:rRNA from 1 species
AGAGGGUUUGAUCCUGGCUCAGAUUGAACGCUGGCGGGAUGCUUUACACAUGCAAGUCGAACGGCUUGGCACGGACUUCAGUCUGGUGGCGAGUGGCGAACGGGUGAGUAAUGUAUCGGAACGUGCCUAGUAGCGGGGGAUAACUACUGGCGUAAGCUAAUAUACGCCCUUCGGGGAAAGCAGGGGACCUUCGGGCCUGCCACUAUUAGAGCCCGGCCGAUAUCGGAUUGCUAGUUGGUGGGAGCAACGGCUGCCAAGGCGACGAUCCGUAGCUGGUUUGAGAGGACGACCAGCCACACUGGGACUGAGACACGGCCCAGACUCCUACGGGAGGCAGCGGUGGGAAUUUUGGACAAUGGGGAAACCCUGAUCCGUGUCGCGUGUGCGUGAAGACCUUCGGGUUGUAAAGCACUUUUGGCAGGAAAGAAACGGCUUUUGAGACUAAUACCCCGUGCAACUGACCCGUACCUGCAGAAUAAGCACCAGCUAACCACGUGCCAGCAGCCGCGGUAAUACGUAGAUUGUAAGCGUUAAUCGGAAUUACGGGCUAAAGCGUGCGCAGGCGGUUCGGAAAAGAAAGAUGUGAAAUCCAGAGCUUAACUUUGGAACUGCAUUUUUAACUACCGAGCUAGAGUGUGUCAGAGGAGGUGGAAUUCCGCGUGUAGCAGUGAAAUGCGUAGAUAUGCGGAGGAACACCGAUGGCGAAGGCAGCCUCCCAGGAUAACAUGUAUCAUGCACGAAAGCGUGGGAGCAAACAGGAUUAGAUACCCUGGUAGUCCACGCCUAAGCGGUAUGUCAGCAAGCUGUUGGGGCCUUCGGGCCUUGGUAGCGCAGCUAACGCGUGAAGUUGACCGCCUGGGAAGCCACGGUCGCAAGAUUAAAACUCGAGAAUUGACGGGGACCCACCUGGCUUCGGUGGAUGAUGGAUUAAUUCGAUGCAACGCGAAAAACCUUACCUACCCUUGACAUGUCUGGAAUCCCCGAAGAGAUUUGGGAGUGCUCGCAAGAGAACCGGAACACAGGUGCUGCAUGGCUGUCGUCAGCUCGUGUCGUGAGAUGUUGGGUUAAGUCCCACCCAACGAGCGCAACCCUUGUCGUGUAGUUACUACGAAAAGGGCACUCUAAUGAGACUGCCGGUGACAAACCGGAAGGUGGGGAUGACGUCAAGUCCUCAUGGCCCUUAUGGGUAGAGCUUCACACGUCAUACAAUGAGUCGGGACAGAGGGUCGCCAACCCGCCAGGGGAGCCAAUCCCAGAAACCCGAUCGUAGUCGGAUCGCAGUCUGCAACUCGACUGCGUGAAGUCCGGAAUCGCUAGUAAUCGCGGAUCAGCAUGUCGCAGUGAAUACGUUCCCGGGUCUUGUACACACCGCCCGUCACACCAUGGGAGUGGGUUUUACCAAGUAAAGUUAGCCCUAACCGUAAGGGGGAGGGCGAUUACCACGGUAGGAUUCAUGACUGGGGUGAAGUCGUAACAAGGUAGCUCUGUUGGGUAUCAG